rnacentral:rRNA from 1 species
AACGAACGCUGGCGGCAUGCCUAACACAUGCAAGUCGAACGAGACCUUCGGGUCUAGUGGCGCACGGGGGCGUAACGCGUGGGAACCUGCCCUUAGGUUUGGAAUAACUCCCCGAAAGGGGUGCUAAUACGGGAUAAUGUCUUCGGACCAAAGAUUUAUCGCCUUUGGAGGGGCCCGCGUUGGCUUAGCUAGUUGUGAGGGUAAAAGCCUACCACGGCGACGAUCCAUAGCGGGUCUGAGAGGAUGAUCAGCGACACUGGGACUAAGCCACGGCCCAGACUCUUACGGGAGGCAGCAGUGGGGAAUCUUGGACAGUGGGCGAAAGCCUGAUCGAGCACUGACGCGUGAGUGCUGAAGGUCGUAGGGUUGUAAAGCUCUUUUACCCCUGAUGAUAAUGACAGUACCGGGAGAAUAAGCUCCGGCUAACUUCGUG